CUGUGGUGGCGGGGUUUGGGGGGCGUGUGGCACAUUCCUGGUGUCAGGGGCUGCAGGGGCUCGGCUCUCCCGGGCCCAGGAGACAGGUGAAACCCUCAGUUUGUUGGGUAGCGAAGGCAGGUAGCUCAGGAAGCAGAGUUCACGCUUGUCUCAAGCAGCCACCUGCCGCCCUGGGGACCUGGAGCAGUGGCCCAGGAGGUUGUGCAAAUCCAGUAUUAAAGAUGGAUUUUAAGACCCAUGUAAUCAUUGAGGAUUUACUUUCUUGGUGCCUCAGAGCUGCAUUCAGCAACAACACCAUUGUUCUGUUUUUAAACUUACAUAUCACCUCCACAAGGAAGCUCUCUACCAAGGGAACUGCACGUGUGACAAGGUUACUGAGAGUACCGAUGCUGAUCCAUCUGAUCUGAGCCUUUUCUCUGAACAACUUCCAUAGGACAGUGCAGGACCUGCAGAGUUGUGGCUUUUUGGCAUUAUCCUGGACUUGAAGAGCUUGCUUUUCUCCCAAAUUUCUGAAAAUUUUGGUCUUGUGCACCUUCUUCAUUUGACCAAUGCCAUUAAGUUUUAAUUCUGUCAAUCUGUCUUGUGGCAUUUUGCAUUUUACAUUGUUUACUGUAUCAGGUUGCUUAUUUCAUAAGCUUAGUGCUGGAUUGUGUGACUUAAUUGGGCAAAUAAUUUAUUCUCUUUCAUCAAAAAGUGAUUCUAGGUCUCCAAGCGUGGAUAACCUCUUUCAUUUUGGAUUGUACUAAAAUCUAAUCUUACUGAUUAAUCAACCCAUCUAUAUAAUUUUGAUCAUAUUGAUGUUAUCUCCCUGAAAGAAAUAAAUGCCACACUUUUUCCUUUUCUUUUGGUUUG
rnacentral:lncRNA from 1 species